UAAUCAGUCAUUUAAUCGUACAUUAAUAGUUUCUAUAAAUCACACGUAGAACAAUAACAAAUUACUCAAAAUUCAUGUAUAUUUAUUAACAUUGUAUUAUAUAAUUAAAAGGUAACAAUUUUUAUAAACAGUCCAAAAUAUCGACAAAACUGUGUCUAAAAUUGAUUUCUAUUAUCACCAUGGAAUUGAAAACGACUGUACGAUUCAAUACGUUCUCUAUCGCAACAUGACGAAAUGGUCUAAUAACAAAGUAAAGGCAUUCAACAUGAAAAAUAAAAGGCGCAAUUAAUGAGACUGGUUCUCAGCAUGAUAUAAUGCCAAAGUAUACAUGGUUUAAUUUUCAAUACUUCGUAAUUAUUCUAUUUGCUUGUGGAUAAUCGAGUACAGUUACAGAAUGAAAGUAAACGAAGUAGGAUCACCACAAAUUACCUCGAGGGAUCAAAGCAGCAGAUUCGAAAGUCCAAUUUCGUCGAAGUUUAAGCUCAACGCAGCAGGAAAGACGCGUAGGAUCGCGGGCAAAAACCUAACCUCAGUUAUUUUACAACAACGUCAGGCACUCCGCGUAAUAGAGGAUGACGUUGAUGUCACUCCAAAAUUACUAAGCCAUCCAAUCUACAGUUCGCUUGACGAGAAACAGAUAACUGCAUUCGAAACAAUCGGAUUAUCCCAGACCGGCAGUGUCGGUACACUGUCCAUUCUUUCCGGUUUAAGCAUUGCAGUAAAAGAAAGUUCCUCUAUGAUCAUCAGAACCUCCUCAGUUCCUUCCGGUUCGAUGACAACGGAUGAUAUUCUGUUUGAAAGUUUAUUAUCCACUCAAACAGAUGAUUUUGAUGAUGAUGAUGAUGAAGAUAAAGUUCCCCCUCAAUUUUAUCUACCUAGCGAAGAUCCAAAUAUUCUCUUAAUUCGACCCGAUACUGUGACGCUCACUUUGAGGGAAACGGAGACGUUCUUCAUUUUCGAUAUACAGCCUCGAACUGCUGACUUACUUACGCCAGAUGGUAUAGCGGUUAAAGAACAGAACGAGAAUUACGAAUAUAAAACGAUAGGACCUGGUUCGAAUAGGAAAUUAAUAGAUACCGAAACUCAAACCAUGCAAGUGCUUACGAAAUCUCGAGGAACACACCUCAGCAGAAGCAGACGUAAAAAUCAAGGCAUGUUCGUGAAUAAUUGGGUGAUGUACGACGCUUAUGGUGCCCCUGAAUUGAUGAUUGAAAGAAAUGGUUUGCUCGUCGUGCAUAGAAAGGAAUCUUUGCAAGAAAUGUUGCAAUCAAAGGCUUUGAAAGCUAAACUACCAAAAUCAAAAAUUUACGAGAAGAAGACCCCCGAACAAGAGCAGAUAUAUAUAUUCCAACAUAUUAAUUUCCGGAAUGCCGUACGAGUAAUGGAGCGUAUAAUAUCGAACAACAUUUUCAUUCACGCUCAAAAGCGUUUCACCGGCCUGAUUAAACAGGAUCCAUGUAGCCUUGAUUUGGAGUUCACGUACAGUCCAGACCUCCUCUGGAUUCACGAUUCUGAAGAAACUUCGGGAAGACCAGUAUCUUCAUUCCGCUGGAAUUACGUUAACAGAAGCAUUCUAGCCGUAGGAUAUGGGGCACGAGUUAAUUCAGAAAUUAAAAAUGGCUUGGUGUUACUUUGGUCUGCGAAAAAUCCUGGUGUACCGGCUCGUUAUUACAGUUUUGAUAGUCCGGUGUCAGACCUCGAUUGGAGUCGGGAACGGCCGAAUUUACUUGCUAUCGGUUACUACAACGGCGAAAUCAAGGUGAUCGACGUAAGCAAUCCAGAUCUCAAUGUCGUACGACGAAGCGAGAAAGCUACAUUUUCGACUUCUCCGCACUGGCAAGUUCAGUGGUGGCCAGGUGACGAGCAAUACGAAUACCAAGAACAAAUUUAUACGUGCAAUCAGGACGGUUGCGUGUUUUGCUAUCGAUACGUCGAAGAUUUCACUUCGUCGAUGAUUAUGAAGGUUUACAGGAUAGAGGGAACGUUGCCGGGUGUCACUAGGACUGUUCAGUGUAACUUUUAUGAUAUAUCAAUCAGUCGUAGCCCUGGGGCAUUGGCACUACGGAAGCAUCCUACUUUGAGUACCAUUUAUUUCGUGGGUACGGACGAAGGUUGUAUCUACAAAUGCUCCACGAAUUAUUUAUAUCAACAUAUAGACAGUUUUCUAGCGCACGAUGGACCAAUUUACUCGAUGAUGUUCUCUCCAUUUUGUUCAAAAAUCUUCCUAACCUGUGGCGCCGACUGGUGCAUUCGAAUCUGGGCAGAAGGAUUGACAGAUCCACUGAUUACUAUGUCCACAACUAUGGCAUGCGUUCGAUACGCAGCCUGGUCUCCCGUCCAUUCCACGAUCAUAGUAAGCAUCGUCAAUAACGAGAUCUGUAUAUGGGAUAUCAGACGAAAGAUAUACAAACCUGCGUCGGUGACAACGUCACCCAACACCAACAGAUUUAUUAUGGUUGAUUUUACGGCAAAUGGUAACCAACUCGUGGCGGCGGAUGUGGAAGGUGUUGUAUAUGUGUAUAAUCUUGAGGGAAUGCCAUUUCCGCCGUACAGUCAGGAACAGGUGCUGGUAGAGUCGAUCGAGAAGGCUUUAAUCACGAAACCUAUACUCCUGAAGAAUCUAAAGAAGCUCGGACCGCCAUUUUCUCGAUAAGAAAGUGAAAUCGAAUUAAGCUGUUUUAAGCUAGUUAUAAUCUUACUCCUUUAUCAGUAUCAUAUGAAUCUCUUAGAUACCAAACUGACCAGAACCAUUUCUUAUUGAUUUCUCAAUUUUACAUAUUACAUAGGUACAAGAUUAAACUUCAAUUCUUAAACGACAUAUGAUUUGCUUACGUAAAUUUAUUUAUUGAGACAAAGAUGGUAUAUACAAUAUAGAUUCGAAGGUAAAUUUAAGAAAAUAGUUUUUGCAACACUGUCACGUUUCUUUGCUUUUCAAUUAAUGCAAUUGAUCAAUGUGGCUUCAAUGUGGUUCGUAUAUCUAGAUUGUCACGUGACAUCGUCUCGUAAAACGAGGAUUCGGAUUACCACAGUCUGAUUUUCAAUAACCUGUCGCGAUACCACAAUCCCUUGCUUAUCCCAUGGACCUUGACUGUUAGCCAGAUCGUUGCAGGGGACAUAUAUGACAUUUUAAACUUCUUUAUCGACCGUGCAGCCGGAGGCAAAAUCCAGCACGUGGGGACCCCUUUCGGUCCCCCGAAGCGAAGCGUGCCCGAAGGGCCUUGCGUGAUUCGCGCAAAGCACGGAAAGCAAAGCGACCAUUUCGAUUCAGGAUGGAACUGCGGUGUGCCGGGGUCUACUCUGAGGCCUGGUAGGUAGGCAAGUCGGCACGGAUGGCUGGCUGGCUUGCUUGGAGGAGUUGCAGGAGAGUGCCAUGGUAGAGGGGCUUCCCUGGCUGCUGCCGCUUGCGGGCACGAACCGCGCUACCGCCGUCAGCAGGCAGUCUUAUUACGCCCGCACUCAACUACGCGAACUAAGUACUCUUCUUAGGCCGGCCACACAUCGAAUAACAAUCGCGUGGUCUAGCUUACGCGUGAAUUCGGUCCAUACAUCAAACGGUGUUCGUUCUCCAUUGAAAAUUUCGGAUCUUUUCUAUAUCUCUUGGCGUACAACAUUUUUUGUAUGUUCGAUCCAGCGGUUCGGUUCCAGCGACGACUCUCAUUUUCGAAUCGACGAAAACAAUUUUAAAAUCAGUUAGCGAAUCGAGUCGGGAGGCGGCGAGAAACCCUCGAGUUCGAUUAAUCGGCGAGGACCUGCUGCCCGGUCAGAGGUCGCCGCGGCGAAUCGAACGUGGAUUAUUUUGCUACUCUCGAUCGUUGACGUGCACGGAGAUGUGGUGGUCAGUGUGAAGACUGCUUAAUAGCGAGGAACAUGUGCAACCACGGAAUAGUGGUGAAGCUGAUGUUGCCGGGGCACGAGCUACACUGUGACCACUCUGUUCUCGACGAACCCUGACCGAUUCCACCAGUUCGUUUCACCAGCUGACUGGGACUGAAAACACGCUGCGGUGAACGCGUACGUUUGAAUAUUCGUACGGUUGAAUUCGUGAGACGCGCGCGUUCGGAGAAAUCGGUAAAAGUGUCGCCUUGAGUUAACGCGUAUGGUGUAUAGACCGAGUUUCUUUAAGAAGAAGCGGUGUGUUCACAAAAUUAUACGUUUUCACGUACAUUCGGUACGCUAUGAACAUCAACGUUCCUGGAUGUAACGGGUGGUUCGC